rnacentral:rRNA from 1 species
CCUACGGGGAGCAGCAGUGGGGAAUAUUGGACAAUGGGCGAAAGCCUGAUCCAGCCAUGCCGCGUGUGUGAAGAAGGCCUUCGGGUUGUAAAGCACUUUCAGUGGGGAAGAAAGCCUUGGGGCUAAUACCCUCGAGGAAGGACAUCACCCACAGAAGAAGCACCGGCUAACUCCGUGCCAGCAGCCGCGGUAAUACGGAGGGUGCGAGCGUUAAUCGGAAUUACUGGGCGUAAAGCGCGCGUAGGCGGUCUGAUAAGCCGGUUGUGAAAGCCCCGGGCUCAACCUGGGAACGGCAUCCGGAACUGGCAGGCUAGAGUGCAGUAGAGGAAGGUAGAAUUCCCGGUGUAGCGGUGAAAUGCGUAGAGAUCGGGAGGAAUACCAGUGGCGAAGGCGGCCUUCUGGACUGACACUGACGCUGAGGUGCGAAAGCGUGGGUAGCAAACAGGAUUAGAUACCCGAGUAGUC